rnacentral:rRNA from 1 species
GAUGAACGCUGGCGGCGUGCCUAAUACAUGCAAGUCGAGCGAACAGACGAGGAGCUUGCUCCUCUGACGUUAGCGGCGGACGGGUGAGGAACACGUGGAUAACCUACCUAUAAGACUGGGAUAACUUCGGGAAACCGGAGCUAAUACCGGAUAAUAUAUUGAACCGCAUGGUUCAAUAGUGAAAGACGGUUUUGCUGUCACUUAUAGAUGGAUCCGCGCCGCAUUAGCUAGUUGGUAAGGUAACGGCUUACCAAGGCAACGAUGCGUAGCCGACCUGAGAGGGUGAUCGGCCACACUGGAACUGAGACACGGUCCAGACUCCUACGGGAGGCAGCAGUAGGGAAUCUUCCGCAAUGGGCGAAAGCUUGACGGAGCAACGCCGGCUGAGUGAUGAAGGUCUUCGGAUCGUAAAACUCUGUUAUUAGGGAAGAACAAAUGUGUAAGUAACUAUGCACGUCUUGACGGUACCUAAUCAGAAAGCCACGGCCAACUACGUG